rnacentral:rRNA from 1 species
AGUGAACGCUGGCGGUAGGCCUAACACAUGCAAGUCGAACGGCAGCACUGUAAGAGCUUGCUCUUACGGGUGGCGAGUGGCGGACGGGUGAGGAAUACAUCGGAAUCUACUUUUUCGUGGGGGAUAACGUAGGGAAACUUACGCUAAUACCGCAUACGACCUACGGGUGAAAGCAGGGGAUCUUCGGACCUUGCGCGAUUGAAUGAGCCGAUGUCGGAUUAGCUAGUUGGCGGGGUAAAGGCCCACCAAGGCGACGAUCCGUAGCUGGUCUGAGUGGAUGAUCAGCCACACUAGAACUGAGACACGAUCCAGACUCCUACGGGAGGCAGCAGUGGGGAAUAUUGGACAAUGGGCGCAAGCCUGAUCCAGCCAUACCGCGUGGGUGAAGAAGGCCUUCGGGUUGUAAAGCCCUUUUGUUGGGAAAGAAAAGCAGCAGGUUAAUACCCCGCUGUUCUGACGGUACCCAAAGAAUAAGCACCGGCUAACUUCGUG